CAUUUUAAAGCGUUCAUAUGUGCAUCCCUGAAUGCUAAGAAACUAGUGGCUUGGUUGAAACUGAUCUUGCAAUGCCAGUACCUUCUCGAGAAUCAUUAUGCAUCGUGGAGUUAUGUCGUAAAAACAGGUUUCCAAGAUGCGUUUCACACUCUCGAUCGUCUUACGAAUUAUAAGUUCGACCUACCAGUGGACCUGGCGGUAAGACAAUUCCAAAACAUAAAGGAUGCGUUUUGAUUGCGAAGCAAGAUGAUGUUCGUCAUUAUACGACUAUGGGUUAGUCAAUUUUAGUGAACAAAGUACACGGACAACGUAAACGAGAGUCAGUACAUUUUAACUUUUACGUUGACUUUACACGGAUCCAUUGUAUUUUAAAAGUAUUCUUUCGUGGCGAUCAUUCUUUUCUCUCAUUCUCUGAGCGAUCAUUAGUGGAAGAUUAUUAAACGCAAUAAUGUAGCUGUAAUAAUUUCGAGUAUCAGUAUUGCUGUGUUUAAUCCCCAGAGAGGGUCUGGGUUUUUAAUUACUCUAUUUUAAGAACGUCUCGCUCUGUGAGAUCUAAGAGGAAGGUAAUCUCUGAUGCCUGUGGAGACUUAACGACGAUACGUAUAGAGAUAUAUUGCGACUUUACAGCACAGGUAUAAAUGCAAUGCUGCCUGAUAUAAUAUGGACUGAUAACAUAUUACGUAGUUAUUUUGAGGUACAUUUUCGGAUACUGCACGUUCUCAAGAAACAAUAGACAUUUUCUUUGUACCAUUUAACGAGUAACGUUAAAUCGAUUUUAUAGAAUUGAGAACCGGGGUCAUCGCUGUGAUCAAAAUUAACUGAAAUUUCUUACUAAAUCUUCUCGCGAAAAACUGUUAAGAAAGUCACGUUACUCCUUAUUAGAUAUCGAACGAGAAACCAAAGACCAACAUUUCUUUUUAAUCAUUGAGAAGAAUAUUACUCUUUAGUUCUUAGUACCUCUUCGCAUGUUAAAGUUGAUGAGUUUGCGGUAACAUAUCAUCGAGACAGUAGUUAAAUCUUGUAACAUAUAAACAGUAUAUACCAUGCAUAAUCGUCGAUGUUGUAAUAUAUUGUCAACAUUUUAUCUUUGUUGUGUUUCAUAAAUCUAUAUCAUUGAUUUAUCUUCUCAUUUUCACGUUCACAUAUUGUAUAUGCGUUAAUAUAAAUGUGUAAGAUUCGGCUUUAGUUAGUCAUCACUGUUGAAAAAAAAGAAAAAAAAAGUGCAGAUCAUCG